AGUGAACGCUGGCGGUAGGCCUAACACAUGCAAGUCGAACGGCAGCACAGUAAGAGCUUGCUCUUACGGGUGGCGAGUGGCGGACGGGUGAGGAAUACAUCGGAAUCUACUUUUUCGUGGGGGAUAACGUAGGGAAACUUGCGCUAAUACCGCAUACGACGUACGGGUGAAAGCAGUGGAUCUUCGGACCUUGCGCGAUUGAAUGAGCCGAUGUCGGAUUAGCUAGUUGGCGGGGUAAAUGCCCAGCAAGGCGACGAUCCGUAGCUGGUCUGAGAGGAUGAUCAGCCACACUGGAACUGAGACACGGUCCAGACUACUACGGGAGGCAGCAGUGGGGAAUAUUGGACAAUGGGGGCAAGCCUGGUCCAGCCAUACCGCGUGGGUGAAGAAGGCCUUCGGGUUGUAAAGACCUUUUGUUGGGAAAGAAAAGCAGCAGGUUAAUACCCCGCUGUUCUGACGGUACCCAAAGAAUAAGCACCGGCUAACUUCGUG
rnacentral:rRNA from 1 species